GAUGAAAGAACGCAGCGAAAUGCGAUACGUAAUGUGAAUUGCAGAAUUCAGUGAAUCAUCGAAUCUUUGAACGCACAUUGCGCCUGCCAGCACUCUGGCAGGCAUGCCUGUUCGAGCGUCAUUUCAACCAUCAAGCCCUAGGCUUGCGUUGGAGCCCUGCGGCUGCCGCAGGCCCCUAAAAGCAGUGGCGGGCUCGCUAUCACACCGAGUGCAGUAGAUUACUCUUCGCUCAGGGCGUGUGGCGGGUUCCAGCCGUGAAACCCCCUACUUCUCAAGGUUGACCUCGGAUCAGGUAGGAAUACCCGCUGAACUUAAGCAUAUCAAUAAGCGGAGGA
rnacentral:misc_RNA from 1 species